CUUCAUUGCUCUGCCUCUCCCCUAUCCUCCUAAGGCUCUGUGUGGAAAUAGAGGCCAGGCAUCUGACAGCACCCUGCCUUUUACUGUGAGACACAGUUCCUGUUUUAAGGAUUUUACAGUUUUGCAGAGAGAUAAGAGAAGUGCACGGCCAUCAGAAUACAAUACAUUAAACGUCAAGAACAAGAAAAAUGAACUGCUGUGCAAUGGAAAUUCAGAGGCUUGCUCAUCCUCAUGUCCCUUCACAACUCUACAGCAUCCCUUGCCCUGCAUGAAGAUCUAGGCCAGAAGGGAUUAUGAAGCCCUCGACCUUGGAGAAAUUUCUCCAUUGUAAAACUGGACCCUGGAGCUAUCUGGCUUCUGGAGAAAUUUAGUUACCUUCCAAAGAUCCACUAUGUCACCAAGGAGAUCUUUCAAGAGAGGAG